rfam:Ophiophagus hannah scaffold1429.1, whole genome shotgun sequence.
AUACUCUGGUUUUCUAUUCAGAUCGUAUAAAUCUUCCACCUUUUACUAAAGGGUUCCACAAAGAAAGAGAACAUGGAUGAGUUUUGUCCUAAUGUUUUGAGGCCCCAAAAAUUCAAUUUUUGAU